GGGGGAAAAUUAAUAAAAAAAAAAAAAUAAUAAAAAAAUUUUUAAUAUUGGGGGAUAUUAGAGUAUUUUUUAAAGAAAAAAUAAAAAAAAUUAUAGUUGAGUAGUAUUGUAAAAUAAAUUUGAAAUAAAUGAAAAUAAAUUAAUUGGAAAGUAAUUUUUAUUUAGUGUAUCUUGUGUAUCAGAGUUUAUUAAAAAUAUUUUUUUUAAUAAUAAAUCUCGAAUUUAAAAGAGUUAAUUAAUUAUAAAAUUUAAUGUUGAAUAAUUAUUUUAAAUAAUUAAUUAGAAAUGAAAUGUUAUUCGUUUUUAAAUAUAUCUAGUUUUUUUAGAAAUAAAUUUAAUUUAAAAUUUAAAAAAUUUUAUUAUAAAUUUUAAUAAAUAAUAAAAUAUUUAAAAUUAAAUGUAUUAGGGGAUAAGCUUUAAUAUAAAAAAUUAUAAUUAAAAAUUAAAUUAAAUUAAAAAUUUUAAAAUUUAUAUUGUUUAAAAAUUAUAAUUUUUUAUAAAAAAUUUUAUUUAAAAUAAAAUUUAAUAUAAAAAUUUAAUUUUAUAUAAAAUAAAUAAUUUUAAAUAAAAAAAAAUUAGUAAUAAUGAUAAAAUUAGUAUAUUAUAUUAUAAAAAAUAUAAAAAUAAAUAAAAUUAAGUUAAAGGAAUUCGGCAAAUCUUUAUAUUCACUUGUUUAUCAAAAACAUGUCUUUUAGUAAAUAAUUUAAAGUCUAAUCUGCCCACUGAUAAAUUUAUUAAAGGGCUGCAGUAUAUUGACUGUACAAAGGUAGCAUAAUCAAUAGUCUUUUAAUUGAAGACUUGUAUGAAGGAUUUGAUGAGAUAUAAACUGUCUCUAAUUUAUUUAUAGAAAUUAAUUUUUUAGUUAAAAAGCUAAAAUAUAUUUAAAAGACGAGAAGACCCUAUAGAGUUUUAUAAUUAUAUUAUUUAAGAUUAUAUUUAUAAUUAAAAGUUAAAAAUAAUAUAAUUAUUUUAUUGGGGUGAUAAAAAAAUUAAAAUAACUUUUUUUUUUAUUUAACAAAAAUAACUGAAUAAUUGAUCCAUAAUUUAUGAUUAAAAGAAUUAAUUACCUUAGGGAUAACAGCGUAAUAUUUUUUUUUAGUACAAAUAAAAAAAAAAGUUUGCGACCUCGAUGUUGGAUUAAGAUAAAAUUUAAAUGCAAAAGUUUAAAAUUUUGAUCUGUUCGAUCAUUAAAAUCUUACAUGAUCUGAGUUCAAACCGGUGUAAGCCAGGUUGGUUUCUAUCUUUAAAAUUUUAAAAUAUUUUAGUACGAAAGGAUUAAAUAUUUUUAAUAGUUAAAUUUAAUUGAAUAUUAAUAAAUAAUUUUUUAU
rnacentral:rRNA from 1 species